UACGUAGGUGGCAAGCGUUGUCCGGAUUUACUGGGCGUAAAGAGCGCGCAGGCGGUCGUUUAAGUCGAAUGUGAAAGCCCCCGGCUCAACUGGGGAGGGUCAUUCGAUACUGAUCGACUUGAAGGCAGGAGAGGGAAGUGGAAUUCCGGGUGUAGUGGUGAAAUGCGUAGAUAUCCGGAGGAACACCAGUGGCGAAGGCGAGUCCCUGGACAACACCUGACACUGAGGCACGAAAGCUAGGGGAGCAAACAGG
rnacentral:rRNA from 1 species